UUUCUCUUUGUAUAAGGCCUCCUCCGCACAGGCUUACAUCCCACUGUGGAAAGUGAUGCUAUAAUACGCUGAUGCUCUGUGCUUGUAAUCCUGCUGACCCACCACACUCAUCGGUUCACUUAGUUGAGGGGAUUGGCAGUCCCUAAGCUGGGGCUUAUGCACAGAUCUGAUUGCUGCGCAGUUGCCUACUUAAUAGAACGGCUAUUCUGACAUCGAGGAGUGGCGCGUGUCUGUGCAAAUACAGAUGCUAGGCAGACUGCCACCUCUCCCCUCUGAUUUCAUUCGGGAUGCUAGAAGAAAUCUACGGAACCACUCUUCCUUUUCCCGACCUGUCCUCCCGAAAAGGUAGAUAGUCAGAUCCCCGCCUCCAAAGGCCUCUCUCCCUGGGCCUUGGACAUGAAGUCAUCCUGCUUGGCCAGCUCAAUGCAAAUGGGGUAUUUCUUGUUCCAAACUCUCUUCCUAGCCAGGCUCUGAGGCAUCAGG